rnacentral:tRNA from 3 species
AGAAUGGCUGAGUAAGCAUUAGACUGUAAAUCUAAAGACAGAGGAAGCCCUCUUUUUACCA